GAUGAACGCUGGCGGCGUGCCUAACACAUGCAAGUCGAACGGAGUCCAGCCUUUAAGACCUUCGGGUCAAAGAGGGGAAGACUGAGUGGCGGACGGGUGAGUAACACGUGGGCAACCUGGCUCAUAGAGGGGGACAACAGAGAGAAAUAUCUGCUAAUACCGCAUAAGCACACACUGCCGCAUGGCAGAGGGUGAAAAGAGAAUCGCUAUGAGAUGGACCCGCGUCUGAUUAGCCAGUUGGCAGGGUAAGAGCCUACCAAAGCGACGAUCAGUAGCCGAUCUGAGAGGAUGAACGGCCACAUUGGGACUGAGACACGGCCCAAACUCCUACGGGAGGCAGCAGUGGGGGAUAUUGCACAAUGGGGGGAACCCUGAUGCAGCGACGCCGCGUGAGUGAAGAAGUAUUUCGGUAUGUAAAGCUCUAUCAGCAGGGAAGAUAAUGACAGUACCUGAAUAAGAAGCCCCGGCUAACUACGUG
rnacentral:rRNA from 1 species